CUGAAUCUGGUCCAGUGGUUAGAACCCAGAACCUUCACUUCUACGGAGCGGGUUCGAUUCCCUCUCCUUACA